rnacentral:rRNA from 1 species
UCGGAUUGUAGUCUGCAACCCGACUACAUGAAGCUGGAAUCGCUAGUAAUCGCGGAUCAGAAUGCCGCGGUGAAUACGUUCCCGGGUCUUGUACACACCGCCCGUCACACCAUGGGAGUCGAUAACGCCCGAAGUCAGUGACCCAACCUGUAAGGAGGGAGCUGCCGAAGGCGGGAUUGAUAACUGGGGUGAAGUCGUAACAAGGUAGC